GGACUACUGGGGUAUCUAAUCCUGUUUGCUCCCCACGCUUUCGCACCUCAGCGUCAGUACCGGGCCAGUGAGCCGCCUUCGCCACUGGUGUUCUUGCGAAUAUCUACGAAUUUCACCUCUACACUCGCAGUUCCACUCACCUCUCCCGGACUCAAGCUUCUCAGUAUCAAAGGCAGUUCUGGAGUUGAGCUCCAGGAUUUCACCCCUGACUUAAAAAGCCGCCUACGUGCGCUUUACGCCCAGUGAUUCCGAGCAACGCUAGCCCCCUUCGUAUUACCGCGGCUGCUGGCAC
rnacentral:rRNA from 2 species